rnacentral:rRNA from 1 species
CAACUCUCAACAACGGAUAUCUUGGCUCCCGUAACGAUGAAGAACGCAGCGAAAUGCGAUACGUAGUGUGAAUUGCAGAAUUCCGUGAACCAUCGAAUCUUUGAACGCAAAUUGCGCUCSAGGCUUCSGCCMARARCAUGUCUGCCUCAGCGUCGGCU